UGGGAUGACACUCGGUGCUGACCUAUGGGCUUGCAAACAAGAUGAGGCAAAUACUGGGGAACAGCAGGAUGGAAGAGACUCACCAAAAGCAGCCCGGCCUUGACACUGGCAGGGCUGGCAAGAGAACCAAAAAGCCCUAGCACCCUGUCGUUAAGGCUAUAUCUGCUGGGCAAACACCACCUCCUAGAGCAGCAGAAAUUCCAGCCCAGUAUCACAGCACUAGGAGCUGCAGAGCGCAAAAAGGGAAGAGCUGUUGCUGUUGUGCAGCUGAGGAACUGAGUCACGGUGAAGUCAUGGGCAAGAAGCCUGUGGGUCUUCUGCCUGACAGCUGAGACUCCUUGUCACAGGAUAUUGAAAGACAUAACCUUGCCUCAAUGCUAUGAAGAAAACCAGGUAACUCAGAAAAGAAACACAUCCACUGCAGCCUCCCAAGGGCAUGUGCAGGAGCGGAUGGGAAAAGUUUACUUUUCAAAGAAUCACUCACCAUUUUCAGACUUCUGCAGGGAGUACUUGUAGUUGGCAUUUACAGAACUACCAGAUCCCAUGU